rnacentral:rRNA from 1 species
GACGAACGCUGGCGGCGUGCUUAACACAUGCAAGUCGAACGGAAAGGCCCUGCUUUUGUGGGGUGCUCGAGUGGCGAACGGGUGAGUAACACGUGAGUAACCUGCCCUUGACUUUGGGAUAACUUCAGGAAACUGGGGCUAAUACCGGAUAGGAGCUCCUGCUGCAUGGUGGGGGUUGGAAAGUUUCGGCGGUUGGGGAUGGACUCGCGGCUUAUCAGCUUGUUGGUGGGGUAGUGGCUUACCAAGGCUUUGACGGGUAGCCGGCCUGGGAGGGUGACCGGCCACAUUGGGACGGAGAUACGGCCCAGACUCCUACGGGAGGCAGCAGGGGGGAAUAUUGCACAAGGGGCGGAGGCCUGAUGCAGCAACGCCGCGUGCGGGAUGGUGGCCUUCGGGUUGUAAACCGCUUUCGCUUGGGACGAAGCGUGAGGGACGUUAAUGGGGAAGAAAGCACCGGCUAACUACGU